AUUCAGUUAGGGGCAUAUGAGUAAUUGAUUGCUACCUAUGAUUUUGAGUAUCGGCCCAACUAUAUGCUAAUCAGCAGGACUAGCAAUGUUUCAGCGCAGCUAGGGGCAUGUGGUGUGACUAUAAUGCCACACUGUUGUGCUAUUAGUCAGCUCUCGAAUCCUAUGUUGCCCAUCGUAUUAUCCCAAAGUAUGGGCAAUGGCGAAGUAACAAACUAGAAGGUGAGGCUUAAUUAUCCUUUGUGGAGAUUGCGUUGCUGAGGCUAGGAGCCUGCACUUGAGAGUAUUGUGGCAUCAAUUUUGUAUUGGAGCCUGACUUUUGCUGAGGCUAGGAGUCUGCACUUGAGAGUAUUGUGGCAUCAAUCUUGUAUUGGAGCCUGACUUUUGCUGAGGCUAGGAGUCUGCACUUGAGAGUAUUGUGGCAUCAAUCUUGUAUUGGAGCCUGACUUUUGCUGAGGCUAGGAGUCUGCACUUGAGAGUAUUGUGGCAUCAAUCUUGUAUCUCUUGGCUAACUCUAAAGUAUGUUGGUAUAUCUAUCCUCCGAUGAAUGCUGGGAGAACCUCAUACUAGUUCUCGGAUCUUUGUUUCAAUGUGCUUUCAGUAUGUUCUCUUUUAUUGCUUUGAUUUUUUCCUUGGGAAUCUAAAAGGAGCCUUUUUGAGUGUCUAAAGAUACUAAGAUUAGUGACAAGAUGAAUAACUGUUCAUAUAAAUGUCUUGAUUUGUGGAAUAGAUUGUUAGUUCUGGAAACCUAUUUCUUUGUGACAAAUCCUUACGAGAUGCUAGCAGCUACAAGACUGUCCAAAGACACGGUUGAUGCAUUUGACAGUAUGCAACUUGCUAGAAAAAUCAAAAGGGUGCUUGCCAUUAUUAACUAGAACCAUGGCAGUAGACUGCUGGAUGAUUUGGAUUAGGCCCACACCUAUUCUUUUGACUCUUAUCACACAUGCUAGAAGUAGUAUCCAAAUAAAUAUUAGGGACCUUUUUUUAGAAAUUUAUACUGUUAGCUGUUAUACUUCCAGCAACGAUACUAGAAGCUGAAGUUGAGGCAAUGGCAAAUUAUUGACGACUCCACAUCCAGAAUUUCUCUAUCUCAAGUCACAGGGGCUAUGUUUUAAGUGUUGACAACCAUAUGUCUAAGGGCACUUACUGUCUGACGAUGAAGACGAAGUGGUGCUUGAAAUGACUCUUUGUUACAACCUUGGGAAUAAGUCUGUUCUCUAGGGAGCGAUCAAAUAAGCUAAUUGUACAAUUUAUUUAUAAUCAUAUGUAGUAAGCUCAUCUUAAAGAAAGAUAACUUUUUUGUUUUAUUUCAAAUAGAGUAGAUUGUAGAGAAGUGAUCAAUGAAAGUAGUGAAUAGGUCCACUCUAUACUGGGCACACACAAAAGGAAUUACCAGGUAUCUCUACUUUUUCUUUCCUCUUUAAUUCAUCUUCAAGCAAUAAAUAACCUUUUAUGGCUCCAUACUCCAUCAGUGUCGAAGAUUUUUUGCAUUGGGACAUCUGCUCGUGCAUUUUGAACCGUUGGUGAUAAUAUACUUUUCUAUUGUCGCAGAUUCUUGAACAAAAUAAACUUGUUUGGGGCUGUGAUUCAUGACAUGAUCGUCAACUCUUGGUGAUGAAAAAUGUUCUCAUCUUGUGCUUACGAACACGAUCACUGUCGCCUUAGAAGUCAAUCUGGAACGAUGCAAGAGAGCCAUUGAAUAAUUACUGUUGGCAUAACUUUGAAGUAAUUUUCAAGUCGGCAAUGAUAAAAGAGAGCAUGAAUUCGUAUGGUUUGGAGGGUUUCUUGACUUUGUCUUUGGUUCCCACUUCACCAACAAAUCUUUUUUUGGUAGUGUCAGCAGAAAAGCAACAAAGAGAGGUGCUCUACAGGAAGACUAGAUUCCUACAUCACAGCAGAAGGCGAAAGAACACUUCAACACAUUCACAAAUCUUGGCCAAAAAUCAUCUCAAAAUUUUCUCUCAAGUGUUUGGAUAGCUACAGUAUGGAGCAUUUGAAAAGUAAGGAACGAAGGAGUUUUCAGCGGAGUCAAGUGGAAUAAAGGAAAGCAAGUAGCCGAGAUUAAGUCACGACUGUGGAGUUGGAAGCAAGUAUACAAAACAGAGGCUUCUCCUUUAGACUUCAAAGCAUGAAUGCAACAUGUCCCUUUUUAGAGUUCUUGACUCCUGUUCUUAGCUUGGUUUUCGGUUGUUUUUGUGUUGGUUUUGUGCCUUGAGUUCGCCUAGGGCAUACAUGUUUUUUAUUCUCUUUGGGCACCACUGGUGCCUCGCUGAUUUCUCGUCUUAAUAAAAAAUCUUUUUUCUGACCAAAAAAAAAAAAGAUACGACUUGAAAUUCAUGAACAAUGUAAAAACAAUCUAUUGAUGGGAGUUAAGUUGACUACUUU